rnacentral:rRNA from 1 species
GACGAACGCUGGCGGCGUGCCUAACACAUGCAAGUCGAACGGAACCUUCCUGCUUUUGUGCGCAGCUCUACUUGCCAACGGGUAAGUUACACGUGAGUUCCCUGUCCUUGCCCUUGGGAUAACUUCAGGCAACUGGGGCUCUUACCGCCUAGGAGUUCUCGCUUCUUGGUGGGCGUUGGAUAGUUUCGGCGGUUGGGGAUGGACACGCGGCUUAUCAGCUUGUUGGUUGGGUAGUGGCUUACCAAGGCUUUGACGGGUAGCCGGCCUGAGAGGGUGACCGGCCACAUUGGGACUGAGAUACGACCCAGACUCCAACGGGAGGCAGCAGUGGAGAAUAUUGCACAAUGGGCGGAAGCCUGAUGCAGCAACGCCGCGUGCGGGAUGACGGCCUUCGGGUUGUAACCCGCUUUCGCCUGUGACGAAGCGUGAGUGACGGUAAUGGGUGAAGAAGCACCGGCUAACUACGUG